UAAUAAUAAUAGGCGAUUUUAUUUAUACGACAAUAAAAUAUAAUAUUAUAAUUUAUGCGUACACUCGUGGUUAUUAUAUACAGGGUGUUCUGUUAUUACUGAGUACACUAAUUAUCUCUGAAAGUAUUCAUCUUUUUUUCGGGACUCGUUUCACAGAACAUCCAAGGAACGGUAAGCAGCUGUACGGUUUCACGUUUAUGUAAAUUUUUCGUCGCCCUUGUUUUUGAUGGUUUGACCGCUGUGCCUCUACUGUUCAUUUUCAAAAUGGCGACUUGUAUCGAACGUUUCGCCAACAGACGCGCGGUGUCGGUUGGAAUGGCGCUCCCGGUGUUGGAAUUUUCGAUUCCCGUCGACCCGGGCCGAACUCGAAAGCGGAAUAGGUUUAAGGGAUUGGUUCCG